rnacentral:rRNA from 1 species
UAACUUCGGGAAACCGGAGCUAAUACCGGAUAAUAUUUCGAACCGCAUGGUUCGAUAGUGAAAGAUGGUUUUGCUAUCACUUAUAGAUGGACCCGCGCCGUAUUAGCUAGUUGGUAAGGUAACGGCUUACCAAGGCGACGAUACGUAGCCGACCUGAGAGGGUGAUCGGCCACACUGGAACUGAGCCACGAUCAAAAUUCUUACGGGAGGCAGCAGUAGGGAAUCUUCCGCAAUGGGCGAAAGCCUGACGGAGCAACGCCGCGUGAGUGAUGAAGGUCUUCGGAUCGUAAAACUCUGUUAUUAGGGAAGAACAUACGUGUAAGUAACUAUGCACGUCUUGACGGUACCUAAUCAGAAAGCCACGGCUAACUACGUGCCAGCAGCCGCGGUAAUACGUAGGUGGCAAGCGUUAUCCGGAAUUAUUGGGCGUAAAGCGCGCGUAGGCGGUUUUUUUAAGUCUGAUGUGAAAGCCCACGGCUCAACCGUGGAGGGUCAUUGGAAACUGGAAAACUUGAGUGCAGAAGAGGAAAGUGGAAUUCCAUGUGUAGCGGUGAAAUGCGCAGAGAUAUGAAGGAACACCAGUGACGAAGGCGAUUUUCUGGUCUGUAACUGACGCUGAUGUGCGAAAGCGUGGGAUCAAACAGGAUUAGAUACCCUGGUAGUCCACGCCGUAAACGAUGAGUGCUA